GACGAACGCUGGCGGCGUGCCUAACACAUGCAAGUCGAGCGAGGGAAGAGUGCUUGCACUCCAACCUAGCGGCGGACGGGUGAGUAACACGUGGGUAAUCUGGCUCAAUGAGGGGGAUAGCCUUUCGAAAGGAAGAUUAAUACCGCAUAAAGAGUAUCGAUCGCAUGGUCGAAACUCCAAAGAUUUAUUGCAUUGAGAUGAGCCCGCGGCGCAUUAGCUAGUUGGUGAGGUAAGAGCUCACCAAGGCGACGAUGCGUAGCCGACCUGAGAGGGUGAUCGGCCACAUUGGAACUGAGACACGGUCCAGACUCCUACGGGAGGCAGCAGUGGGGAAUAUUGCACAAUGGGGGGAACCCUGAUGCAGCAACGCCGCGUGAGUGAAGAAGGUUUUCGGAUCGUAAAGCUCUUUGAUUGGGGAAGAAAAAAGACAGUACCCAAAAAACAAGCCACGGCUAACUACGUGCCAGCCGCCGCAGUAACAC
rnacentral:rRNA from 1 species